rnacentral:rRNA from 1 species
GACGAACGCUGGCGGCGUGCUUAACACAUGCAAGUCGAACGGUAAGGCCCCUUCGGGGGUACACGAGUGGCGAACGGGUGAGUAACACGUGGGUAAUCUGCCCUGCACUUCGGGAUAAGCCUGGGAAACUGGGUCUAAUACCGGAUAUGAGCUCCUGCCGCAUGGUGGGGGUUGGAAAGUUUUUCGGUGCAGGAUGAGCCCGCGGCCUAUCAGCUUGUUGGUGGGGUAAUGGCCUACCAAGGCGACGACGGGUAGCCGGCCUGAGAGGGUGAUCGGCCACACUGGGACUGAGACACGGCCCAGACUCCUACGGGAGGCAGCAGUGGGGAAUAUUGCACAAUGGGCGAAAGCCUGAUGCAGCGACGCCGCGUGGGGGAUGACGGUCUUCGGAUUGUAAACCCCUUUCAGUAGGGACGAAGCGCAAGUGACGGUACCUGCAGAAGAAGCACCGGCCAACUACGUGCCAGCAGCCGCGGUAAAGUCACAUGU